rnacentral:rRNA from 1 species
AAGUCGUAACAAGGUUUCCGUAGGUGAACCUGCGGAAGGAUCAUUAAAAGUAUAUAGUUAUACAUUCUGUGUAUCGACUAAAUAUACCCAUUCUGAGUACCUUGCCUGUUGCUUCCAUGGAGCCUGACGCAUGUCACUCUGGGGAUUUACAUCCCGAGGGAGCCUCCGUGGAAGGUAAUCAAUUAACUCUUGAAUCCAAUGUCAUCUGUCUGAUAAUGUUUAUAACAAAUGUUAAAACUUUCAACAACGGAUCUCUUGGUUCUCGCAUCGAUGAAGAACGCAGCGAAAUGCGAUAAGUAGUGUGAAUUGCAGAAUUCAGUGAAUCAUCGAAUCUUUGAACGCACAUUGCGCCUCCUGGUAUUCCGGGAGGCAUGCCUGUUCGAGCGUCAUUUAAUACCACUCAAGCUCUUCUGCUUGGUCAUGGAAGAAGAGUAUGCUUGCAUCCUCUCUUCUGAAAUCGCAUGGCGGACUGCCUCAUGUGCCUCGCGUAGUAAGUUCAUCUUUUCGCUUGGAGUGUGAGAUAGUCUCGCCAUCAACCCCCAUACUUCUAAGGUUGACCUCGGAUCAGGUAGGGAUACCCGCUGAACUUAA